rnacentral:tRNA from 2 species
GCCCUCGUAGCGCAAAUCGAUAGCGCACCAGAUCGCGGAUGGGGGUCGCAGGUUCGAGUCGUGCCCGGGGCG